rnacentral:misc_RNA from 1 species
AAGUCGUAACAAGGUUUCCGUAGGUGAACCUGCGGAAGGAUCAUUAAUGUGUGUGUUCGCCAAUGCCUUGUGCAUUGGUCGAUACUCCCACCCGUGUCUACCUUUACCUGUUGCUUUGGCAAGCCUGUGGCUUUUGCUGCUGCUGGGUCUCUCUCGAGAUCUGGCUCGUUGCUUGCCAAAGAUCAUUUAAAUCCUUUCUAUUCAUGAACAAGUCUGAAUAAAAAAUAAAUAUACUUAAAAACUUUCAACAACGGAUCUCUUGGUUCC